rnacentral:rRNA from 1 species
UACGUAGGGUGCAAGCGUUAAUCGGAAUUACUGGGCGUAAAGCGUGCGCAGGCGGUUAUGUAAGACAGAUGUGAAAUGCCCGGGCUUAACCUGGGAACUGCAUUUGUGACUGCAUGGCUAGAGUUUGGCAGAGGGGGGUAGAAUUCCACGUGUAGCAGUGAAAUGCGUAGAUAUGUGGAGGAACACCGAUGGCGCAAGGCAGCCCCCUGGGCUGACACUGACGCUCAGGCACGAAAGCGUGGGGAGCAAACAGG